CGGUCUUACAGGAAAGACCACCUUAUACUUGGAUAUUUUCGCGGGUCACACACGGGCGGAUAUGGGUCUGAUUUAAUUUCGGGUCGCAUAAAAAACAAAAUUUCAUCCAUUUCAAAACCUAAUCCGUAUCUCUCUCCUCCCCCUCUCUCCUCUAAACUCUCUGAUCUCUUUCUCUCUCCUCCGUCCGCCUCUUUGCUAAAGCCUAACACCGGCCAAAGCCUAACAUCGGCCAAAGCCUCCUCGCUGUUCCAAUUCGCCACCGCCAUCAACUCCUCACCUCUCCAGAAGGAGAACAAGGAACAUCGGUCGUCGCCGCUUAUUGCCCGCUGUCGUAUAUGUUUCUUUAGUGUUUGGUCGGGGUUCGAACCAAGGAUAUUGGCGUCGCCAAUUCGUUUGAGCAGCGGCGUUGUCAAUUCGUCUGAGCAGCGGCGUCGCCAAUUCGUAGUCGAUGGUGGCGAGUUGUCCCUCGACGGAAAAGCCUCAAAGAACUCAGUGCUAUGCUACUGCUGGUGGAGCUAGUUGUGAUAAACUGACGGAGAGGCAGCUACAGAAGCACCUCAAGGUUUGUGUGGUGACGCUAGGCUUGCGCCACUAGGCAUGCUGUGCUGGUUGUCAUUCCGGUGGCUGCUAGAGUUGAUGCGAUUGUGAAUUGCUGUUGGUUAUGUGUUGUUGUUGGUGAUAUGGUGAGCACACGCAGAGGAAGUGCUUUGGUGGUGCUUCGCUGCCGUGUUUCUAGGCGGCAUGGAGAGGAGUAAGACAGGGCAGGGCGGCAAAAUUAAAAAGAACUGUAAUUAUUAGUAUCCAAAUUUGUAUUGUAACAAUUUUGUUUCAUUUAUAUUAGUCAUGAUUAUAUAGGUUUUAGUUAAGAAUAAAUUCAUUUUAGUUACACAUUUGUUAUAUUUAGUUAAGAUUUUUUUUUCAAAAGAAUAAUUCAAUUGUAGUUAAGAUAAUGUGGUUUUAGUUGAGAAUAAAUUGUUUUUAGUUAAGA